GAAGUUCGCCAGGCAAUCGCGACGCGCGCAAGCGCAUCGAGGAAAGUCCGGGCCCCGUAGAGCAGGAUGCCGGCUAACGGCCGGGCGCCAUACGCUGAAAAGCCAAAGCGAUGGAAAGUGUCGCCCGAGGGGGCGACUGCACACGUUCAUGUGACCUGUGCCGCGUGCGGUGGGGUAACCCGAGCGUGGCGUGUGCAGCAACAGAAAACAUACCGCCGACGACCACAGGUGUCGGGUCAGGGUGAAAUGGUGAGGUAAGAGCUCACCGCGUCCGUGGCAACACGGACGGCACGGCAAACCCCAUCCGGGGCAAGGCCAAAUAGGGGAGCAUCGACGUGGCUCGCGUCGCUCCCGGGUAGGCUGCUGGAGCGGCGUGGCAACGCGUCGCCGAGAGGAAUGAUUGCCCGGCGCCCGCAAGGGCGCCCGACAGAACCCGGCUUAUCGGCGAGCUUCCCGC
rnacentral:RNase_P_RNA from 1 species